UGAGUGGCGGACGGGUGAGUAACGCGUGGGUAACCUACCCUUCGACAGGGGGAGUAACAGUCGGAAACGACUGCUAAUACCGCAUAAGCGCACAGUAUCGCAUGAUACAGUGUGAAAAACUCCGGUGGUGAAGGAUGGACCCGCGUCUGAUUAGCUAGUUGGUGAGGUAACGGCUCACCAAGGCGACGAUCAGUAGCCCGAUCUGAGAGGGUGACCGGCCACAUUGGGACUGAGACACGGCCCAAACUCCUACGGGAGGCAGCAGUGGGGGAACAUUGCACAAUGGGCGAAAGCCUGAUGCAGCGAACGCCGCGUGAGUGAUGAAGUAUUUCGGUAUGUAGAGCUCUAUCAGCAGGGAAGAAAAAUGACGGUACCUGACUAAGAAGCUCCGGCUAAAUACGUGCCAGCAGCCGC
rnacentral:rRNA from 1 species